AGAUUGGUUCUCCUGCAGCCUUUUCUCCAGCAUGAUUAGGCUGUGGCAUUUGAAUUGAAUAUCAGCAAACCACUCGAACACAUGGGACGUGCAAGCCUAUGUUACUUCUAUUAAAUUUGUAACGUGAUCAUCUCAGCCUGCUGAGGUCCUGUGAAGAUAUUAAUAGCUUUGGGCGAGGAAGAAGACUGCUGUAAUGAAGACAUGCAGUUAGUAUUUUACAUCGUAUAUGCGGCACAACACUGACAGCAGAAACUGGAAAUGGCUGUGGAAGAAGUUUGUGCUAGAAGGUCAGAGUGGUUUGAGCGGAGCUGAUUGCUAAACAACCAAGAACUGAUCUAUGGAUUUCAGCUGUGUGUUCACUGAACAGAGAACUUGCUACGCCUCUGUCUGAAAGAGAAGUUUUUCAGGAGAUGCACAAGGAGGCAGCUGCGGGUAGUAAAGAGCUGUUCUGGAAGCAGAAGGAGAAUAGAGCUGCCGGCAGAGCCCGGGGCUGGGAGCAGCUGUGCUGCAUUUUUACUCCCUGCCCUCUGCUGGAGGACGCUGAUGUUGGGAGAAGGAAAACUCGUCGAGUUUUAACGACUUCUGUGUGCAGCAUUAAAACUGCCACCAAAAGAUAUAAAGCCAACAACGUCUGCAAAAAUAUGCUUAAAUGCAUCUGUUGCCUUUGUCCUACUUGGUGUAUUUAACUACUGCCUCAGUUAUCAUCGACCCAAGAGUUUAUGCAGCCACAUGGUGGAUACCUGAUCCAGAGGAUAUGUGCUCCAUACUUGUGAUACCUACUCUAGAGACUACUAAAGAAGUCCAAAUAUCUGAUAUAGUAAAUUAGACUUAUUAAAAUGUUGCCGCUUAUGUUUUAUAUACACAUAUACACUAUCACGUAAAGAUCUUAAGUAAGUCAGCAGUGCACAAAGUCAUACUAGCAAUGCUCACGCUGUGAAGGAAGGCUGCAGAGAACUGCUGUGGAUAUCUCUUAUAUUUUUUUGCUUUUGAAAUCCUGGGACCAAUUCCUAGCUAAUAUACUUUAUCAUGGCUUUUAUUUAUGUGAAAUGGAUUGCUUUAAAAGCAGCCUGAGCAACGCACACAACUGGAACUGAAAUCAGCUCCAGGUUUGAAAUCAAUCCCAGUCACUGGCAAAAAUGAAACUAUGUUCUGCCUGCCAAAACAUUUAGUCUUCCUCUUUUCCUUUCAACUACUACCAAGCAUAAUCA